rnacentral:tRNA from 1 species
GCGGGGGUAGCCAAGUGGUCAAAGGCGCAGGGCUUAGGACUCUGUCUGUUAGUCAGUUCGGGAGUUCGAAUAACCUUUAUUCA